UUCAGCAGUGCUAUCACUGCAACUCACAACUAGCACUGAAGCUCAGCAGGUGUGAGCCUGGUCUGUACCUGGAUGGGAGACCUCCUGGGAACAACUAAGGUUGCUGCUGGAA
rnacentral:rRNA from 1 species